rnacentral:rRNA from 1 species
ACGGUAGCACGGACUUCGGUCCGCUGACGAGUGGCGCACGGGUGAGUAACGCGUGGGUUACCUGCCCGUUGUUGGGGAACAACUUGGAGAAAUCCAAGCUAAUACCGCAUAAUACCUUCGGGUUAAAGAGGGGGAUCUUCGGACCUCUCGCUUAUGGAUGGUCCCGCGUCUGAUUAGCUAGUUGGUAGGGGAAUGGCCUACCAAGGCAAUGAUCAGUAGCUGGUCUGAAAAGAUGAUCCCUCACACUGGAACUGAAACACGGUCCAAACUCCUACGGGAGGCAGCAGUGGGGAAUUUUGCACAAUGGGCGAAAGCCUGAUGCAACCACUCCGCGUGCGGGAAGAAAGCCUUCCGGUUGUAAACCGCUUUCCACAGGGAAAAAAGAAUGAUAGCUAAUACCUCUCUGCCUUGACGGUACCUGUAAAAAAAGCACCGGCUAAUUUCGUGCCAGCAGCCGCGGUAAUACCAAAGGUGCAAGCGUUGUUCGGAUUUACUGGGCGUAAAGAGAUCGUAGGUGGCUUGUUAAGUCGGAUGUGAAAUCCCGGGGCUCAACCCCGGAACUGCAUCCGAUACUGGCAGGCUUGAGUUUUGGGAGGAGUAAGCGGAAUUCCGUGUGUAACAGUGAAAUGCGUUAUAUACGUGAAGAACACCUGAUGCGAAAGCGGCUCACUGGACCAAUACUGACACUGUCGGAUCGGAAAGCGUGGGGUAGACAAACAGGAUUAGGAUACCCUGGGUAGUCCACGCCCUUAA